UUCCCUGCAGGGAGCUGCUUAUGGGACACCGCUUCCUGCGCGGCCUCUUAACGCUGCUGCUGCCGCCGCCACCCCUCUAUACCCGGCACCGCAUGCUCGGUCCAGAGUCCGUCCCGCCCCCAAAACGAUCCCGCAGCAAACUCAUGGCACCGCCCCGAAUCGGGACGCACAAUGGCACCUUCCACUGCGACGAGGCACUGGCAUGCGCACUGCUUCGCCUCCUGCCGGAGUACCGGGUACGGUCCGCGAAAAGUGACCCUGGGACUGCGUGCAUGCAUGCCUCCGGGGUGGAUGGCAUUCCGCCAACAGGGUCACUCCGAUAGCGCCCGGCAGCCCAAGCACCCUUCCUACCCUUCCUGCCUCCCUGAAGUCCAGCAUUAAUCCCUUACCCGGCGACACCCGGCAGCCCCUUCACCCCUGUGUACCUCGCAGGAUGCAGAGAUUGUGCGGACCCGGGAUCCCGAAAAACUCGCUUCCUGUGACAUCGUGGUGGACGUGGGGGGCGAGUACGACCCUCGGAGACACCGAUAUGACCAUCACCAGAGGUCUUUCACAGAGACCAUGAGCUCCCUGUCCCCUGGGAAGCCGUGGCAGACCAAGCUGAGCAGUGCGGGACUCAUCUAUCUGCACUUCGGGCACAAGCUGCUGGCCCAGUUGCUGGGCACUAGUGAAGAGGACAGCAUGGUGGGCACCCUCUAUGACAAGAUGUAUGAGAACUUUGUGGAGGAGGUGGAUGCCGUGGACAAUGGGAUCUCCCAGUGGGCAGAGGGGGAGCCUCGAUAUGCACUGACCACUACCCUGAGUGCACGAGUUGCUCGACUUAAUCCUACCUGGAACCACCCCGACCAAGACACUGAGGCAGGGUUCAAGCGUGCAAUGGAUCUGGUUCAAGAGGAGUUUCUGCAGAGAUUAGAUUUCUACCAACACAGCUGGCUGCCAGCCCGGGCCUUGGUGGAAGAGGCCCUUGCCCAGCGAUUCCAGGUGGACCCAAGUGGGGAGAUUGUGGAACUGGUGAAAGGUGCAUGUCCCUGGAAGGAGCAUCUCUACCACCUGGAAUCUGGGCUGUCCCCUCCAGUGGCCAUCUUCUUUGUUAUCUACACUGACCAGGCUGGACAGUGGCGAAUACAGUGUGUGCCCAAGGAGCCCCACUCAUUCCAAAGCCGGCUGCCCCUGCCAGAGCCAUGGCGGGGUCUUCGGGACGAGGCCCUGGACCAGGUCAGUGGGAUCCCUGGCUGCAUCUUCGUCCAUGCAAGCGGCUUCAUUGGCGGUCACCGCACCCGAGAGGGUGCCUUGAGCAUGGCCCGUGCCACCUUGGCCCAGCGCUCAUACCUCCCACAAAUCUCCUAGUCUAAUAAAACCUUCCAUCUCA
rnacentral:sRNA from 1 species